GCCUAUUGAAUGGAUAUCUGAAACGGUCCUGUCAAUACACUUCCUUACCUGCUCAUUCUGACUCCCCUGCUGGAACGGAAGCACCAUGAAGGCAGGGGCUCUGUCUUAUUCAGGGCAUCCCCAGGACCUAGAACAAUGCCUGGCACAUGAAUGAAGAUGAUGGCAGCUCUGAUCUCACAGGGUCACUGUGAAGAGUCAAGUUUUUAGACUGCUGCCUAACAGAUCUCCUAACAGUCCAGCCCCGAAUUUUCCUAUCCGCUGUAGCACCACGAACCAGGACACGUCCCCACCCUGGGUAGCUGGCCAGCCUCCUCGGGCCUCCUCGCCUUCCUUCAGCAACGAUUUAGUAGCAACGGGCAGCAGGACUGUGGUCUCAAGCAUUCCACGAGGACAAGAAAUUCCACGAGGACCAAAAUGGAAGCUGCAACAGGCCUCCCCUAGCCUCAGAAGCCAAAUAGCAUUGCCUCCACUACAUUCCAUUGGCCAAAGCAAGUCACUGGG